GUAGGUGGCAAGCGUUGUCCGGAAUUAUUGGGCGUAAAGCGCGCGCAGGCGGUUCUUUAAGUCUGAUGUGAAAGCCCACGGCUCAACCGUGGAGGGUCAUUGGAAACUGGAGGAACUUGAGUACAGAAGAGGAAAGCGGAAUUCCACGUGGAGCGGUGAAAUGCGUAGAGAUGUGGAGGAACACCAGUGGCGAAGGCGGCUUUCUGGUCUGUAACUGACGCUGAGGCGCGAAAGCGUGGGGAGCAAACAGGAUUAGAUACCCUGGUAGUCCACGCCGUAAACGAUGAGUGCUAAGUGUUAGGGGGUUUCCGCCCCCUUAGUGCUGCAGCUAACGCAUUAAGCACUCCGCCUGGGAGUACGGCCGCAAGGCUG
rnacentral:rRNA from 1 species